GACGGAGGGUGCAAGCGUUGUCCGGAAUCACUGGGCGUAAAGGGCGCGUAGGCGGCCUGAUAAGUAGGGGGUGAAAUCCUGCGGCUUAACCGCAGGGCUGCCUUCUAAACUGUCAGGCUGGAGCACAGUAGAGGCAGGUGGAAUUCCCGGUGUAGCGGUGGAAUGCGUAGAGAUCGGGAAGAACAUCAGUGGCGAAGGCGGCCUGCUGGGCUGUUGCUGACGCUGAGGCGCGACAGCGUGGGGAGCAAACAGG
rnacentral:rRNA from 1 species